rnacentral:lncRNA from 10 species
AAUUGUGUCUUUGGUAUAAAUCAGUCAAAGUCUUAUGUCAGGAUCUUUACCAAAAUUCUCUAGUGUUCUUCAGAGAGAGGGUGGGUUGAAGACCAGUUUCUCCAGUGGACAGCCAGCAGAGAAAGGAACAGGAAUGGGCUGAAAAAUACUUUUGCUUGCAGGAGUCCAGGUUUGUUGCUGCACGCCAUAGGGAAGACCAGAGUGAAUACUCUCUGUGGGAGGCAGAUCCGGGAAGAGGGAAUCCAGAAGGAGCUGAGCCACCAGAACAAUUUUCUUCUCUGAAGUUCACCAAUCAAACAAAUCACUUCUUCACCCUGGGAAGAAGUUAGUCAAGGUAUGGAAAACACAAAGGUUUUUAUUCUAGUAAAAUUCCUAAUACAAUAAUAUUC